rnacentral:lncRNA from 12 species
AAAACAUCUUUUUCCAGACUUAGGAGAAAUAAAUGCAAUCAGUUUUGAUGCCUCCAGGAACUUCUUCAAAAGUUGUCUUGGCAAUCAGGCACUUCUGUUUCACAAAUCAGAGUCUCAAGCACACAGGAAAAUCAACUACCCAGGAACUGCUCUCAGCAGGAGCCCUGAGCAACAUCUGCCCUGAGAAAGAAUCAGAAAAGCUAUUAUUGCAACAGGAAGAACCAG